rnacentral:rRNA from 1 species
UACGUAGGGAGCAAGCGUUGUUCGGAUUUAUUGGGCGUAAAGAGCGUGUAGGCGGCCAGACAGGUCAGCUGUGAAAACUCGAGGCUCAACCUCGAGACGUCGGUUGAAACCGUCUGGCUAGAGUCCGGAAGAGGAGAGUGGAAUUCCCGGUGUAGCGGUGAAAUGCGCAGAUAUCGGGAAGAACACCCGUGGCGAAGGCGGCUCUCUGGGACGGUACUGACGCUGAGACGCGAAAGCGUGGGGAGCGAACAGG